rnacentral:rRNA from 1 species
GACAGCAGUCGCCGCGGUAAUACGGAGGGGGCUAGCGUUGUUCGGAAUUACUGGGCGUAAAGCGCACGUAGGCGGCUUGGUAAGUUAGAGGUGAAAGCCCGGAGCUCAACUCCGGAAUUGCCUUUAAGACUGCCGAGCUAGUAGGUGAGAGAGGUAAGUGGAAUUCCGAGUGUAGAAGUGAAAUUCGUAGAUAUUCGCAAGAACACCAGUGGCGAAGGCGGCUCACUGGUCCGGUACUGACGCUGAGGUGCGAAAGCGUGGGGAGCAAACAGGAUUAGAUACCCGAGUAGUCCCUGUCUCUUAUAU